rnacentral:rRNA from 1 species
UACGAAGGGGGCUAGCGUUGUUCGGAAUUACUGGGCGUAAAGCGCGCGCAGGCGGUCCUUUAAGUCAGGGGUGAAAUCCUGGAGCUCAACUCCAGAACUGCCUUUGAUACUGGCGAUCUCGAGUCCGGGAGAGGUGAGUGGAACUGCGAGUGUAGAGGUGAAAUGCGUAGAUAUCGUAAGGAAGACCAGUGGCGAAGGCGGGUCUCUGGACAGUUCCUGACGCUGAGGCACGAAGGCCAGGGGAGCAAACGGG